rnacentral:misc_RNA from 1 species
GGGGCCUCCAAAUUUUGGUACUUGGUGAAUGCAUCAAAUUAGAACAGCUACAUAGAUCAAUCGCCCUUCUUCCGAAGCUGAUUGUCUUGGAUGUGGGGAAUUGUACCUCUCUUUCUUACCUACCCCGCGGAAUCUCCAAACUCAUCCAUCUUCAAGAAUUGUAUGGCUUCAAGAUACCUAAUCCUAGGGUAUCAAAAGCAUGUCACUUGCGUGACCUAAAGGAUCUUAUAGACCUUCGAGUGUUAACAUUGGAUGUCGUCGAAGAAAGCAUGAUAGAGGAAGACGAACUAACAGCACUGGCACAAUUUCAACAUCUAAGGAUGCUAAUUAUCAAUGCUGGUGAUCGUGACGAUGAGAUUUUCUUAGAGAGGCUGGAGAAGUUUUUACCACCUAAGUCUCUCAAAGAAUUGUACCUAAGGCACUUCCGUGGGCGUACUACACCAGCAUGGAUA